AUACGGAGGGUGCAAGCGUUGUUCGGAAUCACUGGGCGUAAAGGGCGCGCAGGCGGUUUUACAAGUCAGAUGUGAAAGCCCACGGCUCAACCGUGGAAGUGCAUUUGAAACUGUAAGACUUGAGUAUCAGAGGGGAAGGUGGAAUUCCCGGUGUAGAGGUGAAAUUCGUAGAUAUCGGGAGGAAUACCGGUGGCGAAGGCGACUUUCUGGCUGAAUACUGACGCUGAGGCGCGAAAGCGUGGGGAGCAAACAGGAUUAGAAACCCUAGUAGUCC
rnacentral:rRNA from 1 species